rnacentral:snRNA from 1 species
AUACUUACCUGGACGGGGUCGACGGGUGAUCAAGAAGGCUCGUGGCCUGGGCCAGUGGCCCACAUUGCACUUGGUUGGGUGCGCUGGCCCACCAUCUCCCCAAGUGGGAGAGUGGACGUCAUAAUUUGUGGUAGAGGGGGUACGCGUUCGCGCGGCCCCUG